AUUUGUGAGGUUUAGCCCAGCUCAGCUGCCAGCCUCACCCUUGCAUCCCUCUAACUUGCUAUUCUUGGCUCAAUUAUUGUCAUGCAAAUGGGCUCCUUCCUAUGCCACCUUCCUGUCUCAUUAUGAUCUUUGUCUCAGGACUUCGGCCCUGGAAUUUCAAUGCCUCCUAGACCAAGCCGGGCACCGGGAAUGCUGCCUCCCCCUGCUGGCUUCCCCCUCUGCAGCUUGAUUCCCUCUAGAGAUCUACAGGGCCAGCAAAGAACUUGGCAGAAUGCCCAGGGUCUGGCCCUCCUCCCUGCUUGAAGAUAGCCUCAAGUUCUUUGAUAGUCUUCCCCCCACCACCACCACUUUCCCGAUAGAAUGUGGUGACCGCCACACUCUUUCUGGCCUAAGCCUUCGAACAACGUCCUCCUCUUGCCUUGGAGAAUGCAUUCUUAGACCCUGAACUGCUGUGUUAGAAGUUCAGCCAUGGAGACGGCAGAUGAAGAAGCCCCAGGAUGACACAAAGAGCCACACGUAAGGGAGAAGCCAUCUUGGACCUCAUGCCUAGGCCAAUUGAAUGCUAGAGUGACCCAGUCAGAGCCCCAUGACCCAACAUCACUCAGCCGAGCUGCAUCAAUAUUCCUCGGUUUUAUGAGGUAGAAUAAAAUGUUGUUUUUAAGAAACUAA